AGGCCGCCGCCUCGCCAGGCGGCUGAGGGCGGGCUGCGACACGAGGGGCGGUCGGGCCGCGGCCGGAGUCCCGGACCUCGGCUGCUUUAGUAUAACCGGCCCCGCCCCAGCCCGGGCCAAGGCGGUAGGGCUGGAGCUCUGGACCACGGAUUGGCGCUAGAGGGGCCGGCACUUCCCGGAUCCGCCUUGCCGAUCCCGCACCCACCUAAUCCCAGGUCUCCACGAGUUUGGAUGAGAAGUGGAGUGGCUCUGCCCAGGAUGGAUUUUAAAGGAAGAAAGCCGGUGGACCCCGCCCGAACUUCUCCGGAGAUGCCCAGUUAGCCUGUCUGAUGGAGAAUUCCUUUCAUCUUUGAAGUUUCAAGUCCAUCCCUACCUAACUAACCUCACUCUCUCCAUUCCAAAAUAAUAGACGCCAGGAGGAGGGACUCCUUCCCCUCCCCAUCAUGAGGGGCUCCGUGAACACUGCCAAAGGCACAGACGUUUGCUGCUUAUUUAGACUGCAGUGCAGAGAAGCCAGGACACGGAAGUUAGCACAGCAAAGAAGCAGGAAGGAUCCCAGAGUGGCUUAGAAUCCUUCUGAUAUUCCCUGUCCCGGAAACCUUGUUACCCCUGCCUGCCAAUCAGUUUUGCAUCAAUAAACUGUACGUUCUGAGCGUUGCCAGAUGAAUGAAAGGAGAGCAGCUGAAGACUGAUCUCUGACCUUGGCACGUAAACAGCCUAUGGAUUGCACUUGACAGUUAUUAAAGAAAAGACCCAGCAA